rnacentral:tRNA from 1 species
ACAUCCUUAGUUAAAUAAUAAUAAUAGUUUGUCGUGCUAUAGUUGGAAAUUUGUUCAGGGUGUA